rnacentral:rRNA from 1 species
UACGGAGGGAGCUAGCGUUGUUCGGAUUUACUGGGCGUAAGGCGCACGUAGGCGGCUCAGCAAGUCAGGGGUGAAAUCCCGGGGCUCAACCCCGGAACUGCCCUUGAAACUGCUAAGCUAGAAUCCUGGAGAGGCGAGUGGAAUUCCGAGUGUAGAGGUGAAAUUCGUAGAUAUUCGGAAGAACACCAGUGGCGAAGGCGACUCGCUGGACAGGUAUUGACGCUGAGGUGCGAAAGCGUGGGGAGCAAACAGG